rnacentral:snoRNA from 1 species
CCCCUCCAGAUUCCUUACCCCUGGGACCUAAAUCGUGGUCAGAGUGGCUGAAAAAAGGAGGAAAAGCACAAGUGAAGUGGAUCCGGCGUCGUUAAUGACACACAUGGUCAGUUCAGACAUGU